rnacentral:rRNA from 1 species
AGUGAACGCUGGCGGUAGGCCUAACACAUGCAAGUCGAACGGCAGCACAGUAAGAGCUUGCUCUUACGGGUGGCGAGUGGCGGACGGGUGAGGAAUACAUCGGAAUCUACUUUUUCGUGGGGGAUAACGUAGGGAAACUUACGCUAAUACCGCAUACGACCUACGGGUGAAAGCAGGGGAUCUUCGGACCUUGCGCGAUUGAAUGAGCCGAUGUCGGAUUAGCUAGUUGGCGGGGUAAAGGCCCACCAAGGCGACGAUCCGUAGCUGGUCUGAGAGGAUGAUCAGCCACACUGGAACUGAGACACGGUCCAGACUCCUACGGGAGGCAGCAGUGGGGAAUAUUGGACAAUGGGCGCAAGCCUGAUCCAGCCAUACCGCGUGGGUGAAGAAGGCCCUCGGGUUGUAAAGCCCUUUGUUGGGAAAGAAAAGCAGCAGGUUAAUACCCCGCUGUUCUGACGGUACCCAAAGAAUAAGCACCGGCUAACUUCGUG